GCCCCCAUGGCCCAAUUGGCAGAGGCAGCAGACUUAAAAUCUGCGUGUUCUGGGUUCGAGUCCCAGUGGGGGCA
rnacentral:tRNA from 1 species